rnacentral:rRNA from 1 species
UACAGAGGGUGCAAGCGUUGUUCGGAAUUAUUGGGCGUAAAGAGCUCGUAGGUGGCUUGUUGCGUCUGCCGUGAAAGCCCGUGGCUUAACUACGGGUCUGCGGUGGAUACGGGCAGGCUAGAGGCUGGUAGGGGCAAGCGGAAUUCCUGGUGUAGCGGUGAAAUGCGCAGAUAUCAGGAGGAACACCGGUGGCGAAGGCGGCUUGCUGGGCCAGUUCUGACGCUGAGGAGCGAAAGCGUGGGGAGCGAACAGG